AUCCAGCUGACGAGUCUCGAAUUGGACGAAACACACGUCCUGGAU
rnacentral:hammerhead_ribozyme from 1 species